CUGGCCACCCUUUCAAGAAUACAUUUGGAACUUUUUUUGGUGUAUGUAUGAAGAUUGGUUUUACAAUUUUGGGCCUCUGUAACAUAAAAUAUUCAUUGAUGAAUUCCUAAUGACAGUCAGUGCCCUCUUCUCACCCUCGCUAUCAUAAUAUCUCAACACGACGAUUAAAGUUGGAUGCAAUCACUGAUUCAUGAUGAGGUCAGGCCCCAGCUACUCUGCAAAGGCUGUGGACACUGGAAUUGAGACACAGAUUACAUUGGCGGCAAAUAAGAUGCAUUUCAUUUUCGUUAUGGAUAAUUACUUUACUUUGAGAGCUGAAUGUCUAUCCCCCUGCACCUUCACUACAACUCAUUAUCACAUCUGACACCUCGCAGCCUGAGGUGACCUUAAACUCAGGUACAUUUUUAAGCCUUUAAGGUCGGAAACUUCCCGGUAAAUUUCCUGAAAUUCUCAGUCUGAAGUUAAGCAUAGGAAUCUUGGGAAUUUUGCUUAAAUUCAUCAAAAAAGUUUGCUUACAACAGUGAACCUUUUUUAUGGGAUACACAUAAAGCAAUUCUAGGGCUUGUGGCAUAUUUUGGUUAAACUAUUCCAAAUUCAAUGGAAUUGCAACCCUCUGCAUGCACUGUGCAUUCUUAAUCACAUGUGCAGUGCACUCAUCCAUCACAUGUACAGCUGAUUCUCAAGAUCUUGAACACUAAUGAGAUGCUAUUGAGCCCACACUACUACACUGUCUGAGCCAAGGACUACAUGCUUUCUGGAAAAUUCCACUGGCACUAUCUGAUGUGUGGAGACAUUUCACUGCAUCUAAUGUAGAAGGGAAAGCUGUGUACAUUUGCAAAUAUUGUGCCAAAUCAUAUGUGAAGAAAGCAGAAAAGAUGCAGAAUCAUCUGGCCAAGUGCAUAAAGUUCCCUCAGCGCUCACAACGAACCUCUAACAAAAGUCCCUCUACUUCUAUUCGAGGUGAAAAUUAUGUAUCAGACACCUUAUCGAUAGCAACAGCUCAUGGUCCUCCUGGAAUCUGAAGGUUUUCUUUAUUCAAUGGAGGAACAUAGUCAUAGAUGCUGAUGAAUGUCUUGCUCAAGCUGUGUAUGCAACUGUUUCACCUCUGAUGGUCACAGGCAAUAUGUAUUGGAAGAGAUUUCUGAAUGUUCUUUGCCCAGCAUACAUCCCUCUAACCAGACAUGCUUUAUCUACUCAUUUGCUGGAUGCAGAGUUCAAGAGUGCAAGUGAAGGUCAAGCAAAUCAUAGAGGAAGCAGACUGUAUUGCAGUCUCUGAUGGGUGGUCGAAUGUUUGUGGGCAAGGAAUAAUUAACUACAUCUCAACCAGUAUUCUACAAGAGCACAGACGCAAGGGACAACAACCACACCGUUCUCUACAUUGCAGAUGAGUUGAGGGCAGUCAUCAAUGACCUUGGACCACAGAAGGUAUUUGCGCUGGUGACAGACACUGCUGCGAACAUGAAGGCUGCUUGGUCUAAAGUGGAGGAGUCCUACCCUCACAUCACACCCAUUGGCUGUGCUGCUCAUGCAUUGAAUCUGCUCCUCAAGGACAUCAUGGCACUGAAAACAAAUGGAUACACUCUACAAGAGAGCCAAUGAAAUGGUUAGGUAUGUGAAGGGUCAUCAAGUUAUAGCAGCAAUCUACCUGACCAAGCAAAGUGAGAAGAAUAAGAGCACCACUUUGAAGCUGCCCAGCAACACCCGUUGGGGUGGUGUUGUCAUCAUGUUUGACGGUCUCCUGGAGAGGAAGCAGUCUCUCCAAGAUAUGGCCAUAUCACAGUCUGCCGACAUGGACAGCCCCAUCAAGAGGAUCAUCCUCGAUGAUGUAUUUUGUGAGAGUGGUAAGCAGCCUGAAACUCCUGAAACCUAUAGCAGUAGCCAUUGCACGGAUUGAGGGAGACAAUGACAUCCUGUCUGAUGUUCAGACUCUGCUUGCAGAUGUAAGAGAAGAAGUCUGUUCUGCCCUGCCCACUUCACUGUUGCUCUAAGCAGAGGAAACUGCAGUACUGAAAUACAUCAAAAAGUGUGAAGAUACACGCCACAGCGUACAUGUUGGACCCCAUGUAUGCUGGCAAGAGCAUCCUGUCUGGUGCAGAGAUCAACAAGGCUCAUGGUGUCAUCACUACCGUGUCUCGCCACCUUGGCCUGUACGUUGGCAAGGUUCUUGGCAGUCUGGCGAAGAACACUUCCAAGCAAGGGCUUUGGGGUGGAGAUGCAAUAUGACAGUCGAGCCAACGUAUCUCAUCAGCCACCUAGUGGAAGGGACUUUGUGGAUUUAGGCUCUUUCCCCUGUUGCCUCCAUCGUCCUCCAAAUCCCACCAACAUCAGUCGCCUCAGAGCGCAACUGGUCCUUGUUUUGGAACACACACCAAAGCACGCAACAGGCUGACCAAUACAAGGGUUGAAAAAUUGGUGGCCAUCCGGUCAAAUUUGAGGCUUUUUGAGCCUGACAAUGAGCCAUCCUCAACAAGGUUGGAAAGUGACAGCGAAGAUGAGGCCUCCGAGGGUGAUGUUCAAGAGGUGGACAUUGAGGUCCAGGGAGAAGACAUGGAAGCCUGAGAGGAAGAAAACCAAAGCUUUAGUUUCUAGACUAUAUAUGUUGAAAAUGUUUUUAGGAGAUGCAAUGGAUCAUUAGGGAUCCUUCAAUAUUCCCUUUUGUUGUUCAGUGAAGUCAUCCCAUGUGAACUAAUUUAAUUAAAGUUCAAUUCAUAACUAAA